rnacentral:rRNA from 1 species
GAUGAACGCUGGCGGCGUGCCUAAUACAUGCAAGUCGAGCGAACGGACGAGAAGCUUGCUUUUCUGAUGUUAGCGGCGGACGGGUGAGUAACACGUGGAUAACCUACCUAUAAGGCUGGGAUAACUUCGGGAAACCGGAGCUAAUACCGGAUAAUAUUUUGAACCGCAUGGUUCAAAAGUGAAAGACGGUCUUGCUGUCACUUAUAGAUGGAUCCGCGCUGCAUUAGCUAGUUGGUAAGGUAACGGCUUACCAAGGCAACGAUGCAUAGCCGACCUGAGAGGGUGAUCGGCCACACUGGAACUGAGACACGGUCCAGACUCCUACGGGAGGCAGCAGUAGGGAAUCUUCCGCAAUGGGCGAAAGCCUGACGGAGCAACGCCGCGUGAGUGAUGAAGGUCUUCGGAUCGUAAAACUCUGUUAUUAGGGAAGAACAUAUGUGUAAGUAACUGUGCACAUCUUGACGGUACCUAAUCAGAAAGCCACGGCUAACUACG